rnacentral:rRNA from 1 species
CAAUAGCGUAUAUUAAAGUUGUUGCGGUUAAAAAGCUCGUAGUUGGAUUUCUGCCGAGGACGACCGGUCCGCCCUCUGGGUGUGUAUCUGGUUUGGCCUGGGCAUCUUCUUGGAGAACGUAGCUGCACUUGACUGUGUGGUGCGGUGUCCAGGACUUUUACUUUGAGGAAAUUAGAGUGUUCAAGGCAGGCCGUCGCCUGAAUACAUUAGCAUGGAAUAAUGGAAGAGGACCUCGGUCCUAUUUUGUUGGUUUCUAGGGCCGAAGUAAUGAUUAAGAGGGACAGUUGGGGGCAUUCGUAUUUAAUUGUCAGAGGUGAAAUUCUUGGAUUUAUGAAAGACGAACUAGUGCGAAAGCAUUUGCCAAGGAUGUUUUCAUUAA